GCGGGAGUAGCUCAAUUGGUAGAGCAUCAGCCUUCCAAGCUGAGGGUCGCGAGUUCGAGUCUCGUCUCCCGCU
rnacentral:tRNA from 1 species